rnacentral:rRNA from 1 species
AAUUAACAAAUUAAAAGCAGCUCUGGAUAUAUAAAUUAUAAAUGUAAUUUAGAAAUUUGUUAUUCCUAAUUAGGAAUCAGCAAGCUCUUCUAAAUUAUAUAAGUAUGGAAAGAAAUUAUUGUAGAAUUUAAGCUAUAUAUUAAAGAGAUUUAUUUAUAUAAAUAGGUUUGCUAGCUGAUUGUGUAUAUACGCAGGCCAAUGCUUCUAAUUUCAUAGCAAGCUCGCUUGCUGUGAAAUAGGCAACCAGUAAUAUAAGCAAGUGUGUGCUAUUUAUAGCGCUAGCCUACAAACCUAUAAUUAUAUUAACUCUAAGAGAAAUUUAAUAAUAAACGAAGUGAAUUGAAAUAUCUUAGUAACUUUAGGAAAAGAAAUCAAAAGAGAUUCUAUGAUUAGCGUGAGCUAAAAUAGACUAGCCUAAAAAGUCAAAUGGUGGAUAAACUGUUUAAAUUAAAUGGGGAACCUUCCUCAAAGGCUAAAUAUAAUGUAUAAGCGAUAGUGGAAAGUACCGUGAGGGAACCAAAACAAAAACAGUGAUUUUAUAAGCAGUUCGGGAAAAAUAAAAAAAAGUUAGAACGUACCUUUUGCAUAAUGGGUCACCAAGUUAACAUUAGAUGCGAGUAGGAGGCUUUGCCCAUACAUACGUAGUUAAACCGAGCGUUAAAAUAACGGUAAGUAUCUAAAGUUAGACCCGAAGCCUGGUGAUUUUACCAUAAUCAGGAUUAUAAAAGUCCGAACGGAAUAUUGUAGCAUAAAUAUCCGAAGAAUUAUGGUAGGUGUAGUGAAAGACAAUACUGACCAGGAUAGCUGGUUUUCUGCGAAACCUAUAACAGUAGGCAAUUUAAGUAUAAUAUCUUAGCAGGUACAGAAUUUAAUCUCAGACAAGACAUAAGGCUUAGCUUGCUAGCAAGUAAAGCUCAUGUUUUAUUUUGUACAAAUUGGGGGAUCAUGAAGAUUUUAUCAGUGAGUAUGUAGACUCGGAAUGGCAAAGAUAUAUCUUAAAUCAUCAGACAUAGAAUGAUAAGGUUGUAUGUCAAAAGGGAAACAGCCCAGAACAAGAGUUAAGGUUCCUAAAUUAUUAGUUGAGUGAAAUUAAGAAGGUUUUUAUUAAAGUCGACAAGGAGAUAGGCUUAGAAGCAGCCAUAAUUUUAUGACCUCGUAACAGAGCGCUUGUUAAGUUUUAAAAGCAUCGAAAAUUUAUCGGAUCUAAACAAUAUACCGAAACCUUGUCCAUAUUAUUUUAUAAUUAAAUCUUAAUUAUAAUUAAAUGGGGUAGCAGAACGUUGAGCUAAAUUAAGAUUUUUAUUUUUUAAAUGAAAUUAUAAUAAUUUAACUCAAGUGAUAAUGGUGACAUGAGUAACUAAAAGAAAAAAUAAAAUUUUUCCGCCUAAAGCUUAUGGAUGUAAUUAAGUAACGGCCUCUAAGUUUAUAUUAUCUAAAGAUUUAAACGAUGAGAUAAUCUUUUGUACUAAGGACGACAUUUUAAGUGAAAAAUGUACUGGAAAAAUAGUACUAAAUUAAUGGGUAUAGCUAAUUAGUUAGCUAUAGCUAUAAAUGAAAAGUAACCGUACCUAGAAUCUGAAACAAGUAAGCUAGUAGAGAAUACGAAGGCGUAAAUGAGCUAACAAUCAUAAAGGAACUCGGCAAAUUGACUACCGUAACUUCGGGAUAAGGAGAGCUCAUUAUUCUUGAUUAAUAUCAGGUAAAGAGGAAGAAGCAUGAAAUAGUGUUGUACGACUGUUUAAUUAAAACACAGCACUUUGCUGAAAGAUUAAAAAUCUAAGUAUAGAGUGUGAUGUCUGCCCGGUGCCGGCUGGUUAACAGAUAUAAUUAAAUAUACUAAUAUUUGAUGUAGACGGAAACCCCGGUUAAAGGCGGCCUUAACGUGAGGGUCCUAAGGUAGCGAAAUGCCUUGGCCGUUAAAUGCGGUCUUGCAUGAAUGAUGUAACGAUACAACAGCUGUCUCUAUGAUUGACUCAGUGAAAUUGGAAUAGCUGUGCAGAUACAGUUUACCUCUAGUUAGACGAGAAGACCCUAUGCAGCUUUACUGUCACUAAUUAUAGAGUAUGAUAAACAAUUUUCAGAUUAUAAGGUAAUUGACGGCUAGCUUGUUCAGCAAGCUAGCUCUAUGACAAUGAGAAUCCUUUAUUUUUUUUUCAUAUGAAUGAAUUGGUUUAGGAUUAUGAGUAGGUAGCGGCUUCUGCUACUUGGCGCAAGCAUUGCUUGCGUCAGGUGUCUGAAGUAUGCAUUCCAGCUCAUGCAUAGUAAAUCAACCUAAUUCAGCUUAUUUUCCUUUCUGCCAUAAGCGCAUAAUGAUAGAUUUAACUUAAAUUUUGAUUUAUGCCAGCUGCAGAAAUAGAUAAGUACCCUUGGCUAAGGAACUAUCGCUAGGGGACAGUUUAUGUGGGGCACAGACCCUGUAAAGAGUAAACAGGAGUGUCUAAUAAUUUAUAAUUAUUUUGUUUGCGAUUUAAGAUAGUAAAACUAUUUUUAAUCAUAUAAAAUUAUUUAUAUGUACAUUCGUUGUAUAUAUAUUUAAAAAAAGGUAGGAUUUUCACUAUAUAGAAAUUAGAGAUAAUAAAAAUAUUAAGAAUAUACGUUUCAGGCUGGGAGGGGGAAACUCCUCCCAGCCUGAAAGGUAGCACUAAUAUUUUUUAGCU